rnacentral:lncRNA from 1 species
AUGAAUGAUGUUGUAGAACUUCCAAGAGUCUAUACAAAGGAUGAGAUGCCAGUUUCAGUGGAUCACAUUCCGAAACAAGAAGAAAUCUCGAAAUGGAGUCACUUGUCGGGAAUUAAAUGGCCUAACCUUGAUGCUAGUAUUGGACUUAUGAUAGGCAAUAAUGUCCCAGAUGCCUACACACCAUUUGAGGUAGCAACAGGACCAAGUGGAUCCCCACAUGCCACACGCACUAGAUUGGGAUGGAUUAUAUGGAACAUGAUACGAGAAUGUACAGGAACUAAUAAAGUCGUUAAUCGAGUAGAGAUGUCUGCGAUUCAUGAAGAAGAGCAUUCAAGGCUUAACGAGUUAGUUGAAAAAUCUAUGAACUUUGAUUUUCCUGAACGCAUUAUAGAUGACAAGAGAGAAAACUCAGUAGACGACAAUUCUUUCUUAGAUUAUGUGAAUAAGAAUAUUCAUUUUGAGAAGGGACAGUACUACAUUCCGCUACCCUUCCGUGACAGCAAUGUGAAACUGCCGAAUAAUGCUUCCCAGGGCCAGCAGCGAUUGAGAAGUCUUAAGAACAAGUUUAUCAAGAACCCUAAAUUCAAACAGGACUAUACUGAUUUUAUGGACAAACUGUUAGAAAGAGGUUACAUGGAACACGUCCCAAAGGAACAGUUCAGCAGAAACGAUGGACGAGUAUGGUAUAUCCCGCAUCAUGGUGUUUACCACAGUCAGAAACCAGACAAAAUUAGAAUUGUGUUUGACUGUUCAGCUACAUAUAUGGGUGUGUCUCUGAAUAAACAACUCUUACAGGGACCAGAUCUCACUAAUAACCUACUAGGUGUUCUCAUAAGAUUCCGUGAAGAGAAAGUUGCAAUUUUAGGAGAUAUAGAAGCUAUGUUUCACCAGGUGAAAGUGCCACCACUUGAUAGAGACUGUUUAAGAUUCUUUUGGUGGCCAAACGGUAACAUGGAGAAUGAACCGGAACAGUAUAGAAUGACUGUGCAUUUGUUCGGUGCCACAUCAUCACCAAGUUGCUGUAACUAUGCGCUAAAAAGAACAGCUGAAGACUUCGGUGAACAUUAUGACAAAGAAGUAGCACACACAAUAACUAAGAGCAUGUAUGUUGAUGAUUGUCUUUCGUCAUUAUCGACUGACGUUGAAGCAAUAUCGUUGAUAAAGAACGUAACUUCUUUGUGUGAAAAGGGUGGAUUUCAUAUGACAAAAUGGAUCAGUAACAGCCCACUCGUAAUUAAAUCGAUACCAGAAGAGGAGCGUGCCAAAGAGGUCAAGCAGUGGAGUCUUGAGGAUGACCUCCCGGUUGAACGUGCAUUAGGUGUGCAAUGGUUUAUAGAGACUGACACUCUUGGAUUCAGAAUUAAGUGCAAAGAAAAGAUAGCGACUAGAAGAAGUAUUCUUUCAAUCACUAGUUCAGUAUACGAUCCUUUAGGAAUUAUAUCGCCGUACGUGCUGAAUGCGAAAUCUAUUCUACAGGGUUUGUGUAGACAAGGGUUUAGUUGGGAUAAAGAACUUAUAGGAC